AGUGAACGCUGGCGGUAGGCCUAACACAUGCAAGUCGAACGGCAGCACAGUAAGAGCUUGCUCUUACGGGUGGCGAGUGGCGGACGGGUGAGGAAUACAUCGGAAUCUACUUUUUCGUGGGGGAUAACGUAGGGAAACUUACGCUAAUACCGCAUACGACCUACGGGUGAAAGCAGGGGAUCUUCGGACCUUGCGCGAUUGAAUGAGCCGAUGUCGGAUUAGCUAGUUGGCGGGGUAAAGGCCCACCAAGGCGACGAUCCGUAGCUGGUCUGAGAGGAUGAUCAGCCACACUGGAACGGGGACAGAGUCCAGACUCCUAAGGGAGGCAGCAGUGGGGAAUAUUGGACAAUGGGCGCAAGCCUGAUCCAGCCAUACCGCGUGGGUGAAGAAGGCCUUCGGGUUGUAAAGCCCUUUUGUUGGGAAAGAAAAGCAGCAGGUUAAUACCCCGCUGUUCUGACGGUACCCAAAGAAUAAGCACCGGCUAACUUCGUG
rnacentral:rRNA from 1 species